rnacentral:rRNA from 1 species
UACGGAGGGUGCAAGCGUUAUCCGGAUUCACUGGGUUUAAAGGGUGCGUAGGUGGGCAGGUAAGUCAGUGGUGAAAUCUCCGAGCUUAACUCGGAAACUGCCGUUGAUACUAUUUGUCUUGAAUAUUGUGGAGGUAAGCGGAAUAUGUCAUGUAGCGGUGAAAUGCUUAGAUAUCGUCAGGAACGCCAAUGGUGAAGACAGGUGACUGGGCUAGAUCUGACACUGAGGCACGAAAGCGUGGGGAGCGAACGGG